GUGAAGGAAGUUGUCAAUGAAAUCAAAUAGACAGUGUCCAUCUAAGAUGGGAUGGUGAUUAUAGGAGUAGUUGCCAGGCAACUAGGGAGAGGAACCAUGGUGAUACUAAGGGAAGAGGAGGGAGAAACAAGGGGCGUCUGAUGAGGAGGACAGUGUCUUUAUGGAUAGUUCAACAUGUAUUGCAACAUUGUUUCCAUGUAAGUACACCAUGGUCUUGUAGGCUAACCCUUUGUACUGGGAGUAUACCCUGCAAAUAGCCUCCUCUCUUAUUUCUUAUUUUGUGUGUUUUUUAAAAUGUUCCAAAUUUUAAUUAGUUAAACUUUUUUGAUAUUGAGUACUGCACUGUUG
rnacentral:lncRNA from 1 species